rnacentral:lncRNA from 1 species
GAGCGACCGGAAAUCGCGGUAUCCGCGGGUCAGCCAUUAUUUGGGGCCUCAGGUGCCGUGGCGUCUAGUUCCCGUGUCAUCUCCCAGCGUCCCCGCCGAGGCGGCGGUCCCCAAGGCUGGAGCCGCUGCGGGAGCCCCCGGUGAGCGGGGUGGGCUCGGGUCAGGUUGGCACGCGGGGAGGGCGGCCCGGGGUGCGGCUUGAGCUCGCCAGGGCAGCGCAGCCUUCGCCGACCCCUCUCCGGACCUUACCCCCAGGGCGGUCCCUCCGCUCCGUGUUGAGGUAGACGCCUUGGCUGCGGCUUGGGGAAGGUAUUGAAGACAGAGCCCCUGAGUCUGUGUGUCUGUGGACCGGCCCUCGAGUUAGUAGAAUGUGCUGCCCCUUUGAGAACACCGCCCUCAGUAGUCAGGUUCCCCAGCUCAGGCUUUUCUGCUCUUUUCCCAUCUUCUCUGAGACUGAUGCUGAGAAACAGCUUGAGACUUCCCUGGAGCAGGGGCUCCCAGACUAAUAGGGGCUUUUUUUUUUCCCCCUUGAGGUAUGGACCGGUUCUCAUCUUUUAAUUUUGUAAUAUAAUGGUAUUUAAGAAGGAAACUUAGGCAAGCCGUACCACCAUUGCUUUAGAGAAUGUAUUUUCACAUUAAGCACCAAGAUGGUAAACUCAACGUAAACGCCGUCUUUUGCAAGAAAGGUCAUUGCCAACCUGCGAGUGACUACGUAUGGUUAUUUUCGUUUUACCGCUUGCCAGAUUAAAGCUUUAUAAUGAAUUGUUGUCAUUAUUAUUCUAAACCAUUGCUUUAGAAUAGUUGUUUGGGUUUCAGAAGUCUUUUCUUAGAUGCAGUUAUUUUGGACUUUUGGAGUUAGAAUCCCUGAGUUCAGAAUUUGCUCCCAUAACUGAGUGGCCUUGAGUGAAUCACUUAGUUCCUUUGAGGCUUCUUUUGUUCUUUUUAACGUGUGGCUCACAAACCUUUUGUGAGAAGCAAACAAAAUGUAUGUUUAAGGAUUUGUUAUUUGUAUCUAUCUGCAAAGUAAGAGUAAAUAGAAUUCUGAUAAUUUACUGUAGAAAAUUAUUUAGAAAUCCUUCUCGCCCCGCCCCGGGUUUUAUUUACUUACAGACUUUAUUUUUUAGAGCAGUUUUACGUUCACAGGAAAAUUAAGCAGAAAAUACAGAAAUUUCCCAUAUACCCCCUGCCCCCUCUCUUGCAUAGCGUCCCCCCAUAUCAACAUCCCCCACCACUGGAGGGAUGGAGUGGGAGUUCGGGAUUAGCGGAUGCAAGCUAGUAUUUAUAGAAUGGAUAAACAGCAAAGUCCUCCUGUGUAGCACAGGGAACUAUAUUCAAUAUCAUGUGCUAAACCAUAAUGGGAAAGAAUAUAAAAAGAGUAUAUUUAUGUAUAACUGAAUCACUUUGCUGUACAGCACAAAUUAAUACAACAUUGUGUAAUAACUAUACUUCAAUCCCCCC